rnacentral:tRNA from 1 species
GGUUCGGUAGCUCAGUUGGUAGAGCGGGGGGCUCUUAAUCCCCGCGUCGUAGGUUCGAGUCCUACCCGAAUCA